UACGUAGGGUGCAAGCGUUGUCCGGAAUUAUUGGGCGUAAAGGGCGCGUAGGCGGCCUGAUAAGUCGGGGGUGAAAGCCUGUGGCUCAACCACAGAAUUGCCUUCGAUACUGUUAGGCUUGAGACCGGAAGAGGUAAGUGGAACUGCGAGUGUAGAGGUGAAAUUCGUAGAUAUUCGCAAGAACACCAGUGGCGAAGGCGGCUUACUGGUCCGGUUCUGACGCUGAGGCGCGAAAGCGUGGGGAGCAAACAGG
rnacentral:rRNA from 1 species